GCUGUCCUAAUAACAGCCACCCUUUACUGAGUGCACACCAGGGGCCAGGCACCCACUAAGCACCUUAUUUAUUUCAGUUCCAGCCUCAGGACAAUCCCCCCAGAAGCUACCUUGCUGUACCUAUUUAAUGGAUGAAGAAGCUGAGUCGAGGAAAGGUUAUCGAGCUCCCACGAAGGGGCUCUGGCGAGGCCUUUACGGGCUGCAGGAGACUCAGAGAACGGACAGCCAUGGCCCCUCCCCACCCAGAGCCCGCCAGAGGACACCACAGGUCUCCAAAAAGCCCAGAGCCCAGAGGGACAAGAGUGGCCCACAGCAUCCUCACCACCCGCCUCAGCAUUUCAGCUCUGACGCAGGCCGGCAGGGUCGAGCCCCAGGCACACAGAGAAAGGCCAGGAACCGUGGCUGGGAACCCACCCCACCGCGGCGCCCUCCGCGGCCCCACUGGAAGGAGGAAAGGGGUGAAUUCUCGUGAGAAUUCUGAUAAAUGGGCUCCUCCACCCCUCCCCCUCCCCCAAUUAAAGCGAAGCUGUCCGAGCGCCGAGAUGCAGAAACCACUUCCAAGCCAGGUUCCUAGAAGCCGGCGACGCUGCAACAAGUGGAACCUGCUGUUCGCGAGCCUUGGGCCUGCAGCCACGAGGGAAACCCGAGACAUAGGCAGAAAUGGAAGGCCGUGCACACUUCCGUCCAAGCGUUUGGGACUGUGUUGCUUGACUGUGUCAUUGCUCACAGUACACCUGUGAUUCAUUGAGUCUCAGAAUUUUAAAAAAAUUGUAUCAAAGUAAUAUGUGCACAGUUUUUAUAUUUUAAAUCAAUUUGUUUAAAAGAACGUUUAAAAACAGCAACAAAACUGAUUUCCUGCUGUCCUGCUCCCCAUCCAUCUUCCCAUCCUUGCCCCCUGCCUGCUUCUGCUCCCCAGAGGCGAUAACCACUGUCAGGUGCUAGUGCCCUCUCUUUCUGAAUAAUGUGCUUAUGCUGCUAUGUCUUUAUCCAUUUUAGACAUCUGAUGGCUUCUUCAUACGGCAAAUGAGAACUUAGCAACUUCGCACUGCUCCCCUUUUUACUUUUUUCCUCUCUCAUCCUUCCAAUAUAAUUAUAUUUGAGUAAAGCAAUAAUCAGGUAGUAUUCUGACAAUAAAAAUAUUGCUGUAACCUUGUCUCCUAGAUCCUGUGUCCUCUCUUUCUUGAUUUACCUCUUUGUCUUGCUGGAACACCUCCUUCAGUACCUUCCUGAGAAAGGGUACAUUUUGAAUUUGGUAAGGUAUUGAAUUCUAGGUUAAAAAUCAUUUUAAAAGGAUCGCUCCCUUGUCUUCUAAUUUGUGGAAGCUGUCAGACUUCUCAAGACACCAUUUCUAUUCCA
ensembl:lncRNA